rnacentral:rRNA from 1 species
CCUACGGGAGGCAGCAGUGAGGAAUAUUGGUCAAUGGACGCUAGCCUGAACCAGCCAAGUCGCGUGCAGGAUGACUGCCCUAUGGGUUGUAAACUUCUUUUAUAUAGGAAUAAAGUGCAGUAUGUAUACUGCUUUGCAUGUACCUUAUGAAUAAGGAUCGGCUAACUCCGUGCCAGCAGCCGCGGUAAUACGGAGGAUCCGAGCGUUAUCCGGAUUUAUUGGGUUUAAAGGGAGCGUAGGCGGGUUGUUAAGUUAGUUGUGAAAGUUUGCGGCUUAACCGUAAAAUUGCAGUUGAUACUGGCAUCCUUGAGUACAGUUGAGGUAGGCGGAAUGCGUGGUGUAGCGGUGAAAUGCUUAGAGAUCACGAAGAACUCCGAUUGCGAAGGCAGCCUGCCGGUCUGUAACUGACGCUGAUGCUCGAAAGUGUGGGUAGCAAACAGGAUUAGAUACCCCAGUAGUC